ensembl:snoRNA SNORA66 Small nucleolar RNA SNORA66
CUACAAAAGGAUUAUUUAUGCAUGAUGUGGCAGGAGCUAAGAGAACUAGGUUUGCGAAAGUAAUUAUGGUGCUAGGAAUGUAUCAGCCUCUCAGAUGUUACUGAGGUUGCCCAUUCUAUCCUACUACAGGA